UCCCGGCCCAAAUCUCUUGAAUCGCCUCUCAUCAACCAACCAACGGUAACCUUUGAAAUCUCUGCCAAAGUUUCAGGUACUCUCUCAGCUCAGCUCAAUCUCCAGAAUUUAUACAAUUAUUCUCUGGGGUUCUUGCGCUGAAAUUUGGAAAUUGCAAUAAUAGAUUUUGGAUAAAGAUUAUUACACCCAUUUAAGUUGAUUGCUAAAAUCCAGUGGAGGAUGGCAUUGAAAACACCAUUGAUCUUGCAACCCAAUCUCUCAUGUUAUUAUCCUCCAACUUUCACCUGCUGUAUAAAGCCCUCUUUUGCGUCCGGAGAGAUGCCCCAGAAGGUGAUAGGGUCUAAUUUCAGUAGAAGAAUAGGAGGAAUGGCGGCAAUGGGGUCGGUGCUAUUGGCAGGGUCAGAAGCAAUUUUUGGUCGACAAGUUGCAGUGGGAUUUGAGCUGAAUAUGGUGGCACCUGAUCGAACAUUUGAAGAGGCGAAGAGUGGAAUCAGAGAACAUGGGCGAGAUUUGUUACAGAUAAAAUCUCUAAUUGAGGCAGAGUCAUGGAGAGAAGCACAGCAGCUGCUGAGGAAAAACUCAUCCUACCUGAAACAGGAUAUCUAUACCAUAAUCCAAGGCAAACCUGGAAGUGAGAGGCCCCAGCUAAGGAAGCUGUAUUCCGAUCUCUUCAAUAAUGCUACCAGACUAGAUUAUGCGGCAAGGGAUAAAGAUGCAUCACGUGUCUGGCAGUGCUAUGAGAACAUUGUUGUGGCCCUCAAUGAUAUUUUAUCUAGAAUAUAAUCGUCAGGAUUCAGCAGAGAUACAUUCGGUCAUCCAUUUGAAAAAUGGGUGUAAAACACACAUUGACAAAGGUAAUGACUUCGUGAAUUUUAUGCGACUGUAAACUAGCUGAUCUAGGAUCCUGUCAUAAAGCAUUGGAAUUUGGGCGCAACUGAAAAAUUAUUGUAUAGGAUUAUGAAUAAAAAUGAUUUUAGAGAAGAAAAGUGUUAGCAGAGGUUGUCAAAGUACUAAUAAAAACAACAACAAUAAAUAAAACGAGGAGAGCAAAGUCAUAUAUGAGUAGAGCUGCGGUCAUUUUUGUUGUAAUUUGAACUAAUUGAUAAGGCAAUUGUAGGUGUUUUUUCAAAUGGAGUUUCAGUAUCAUUUUAUGAAAAUGGAAAGAGAAAAAAAAAGAAAAGAAUGAAAUACUAAUCAAGGAUCUAUUGAUUGGUUCACUUGUUCAACCAACGGAACAUUGCUAUACAAAUGUAAGUUAAUAUGUGUCCAUAAUCUGAGCUGUUUAUGUUCUUACACUUAAUGCACAUGUAUCUUAACUAUGAGAAGGUUAUUUUGUGAGGAUAAAAUGAUAAAAUAAAAAGAAGGAACAAGGGGCUCGUAAGUCCUAUGUGGAAUUAGUUCCAGGGCAUGGCUUUUCUCGUAAAAGGGUGGCAUGUAGGAUUAGGUCUUAGAUUUAAAUCUAGUCAAUAAGAAAAAGAAAACAAAAAAUACAAAAGAAAAAGUGUAGUACAUGAAUCAAGUGUUUUUUUU